rnacentral:rRNA from 1 species
UACAGAGGUCCCAAGCGUUGUUCGGAUUCACUGGGCGUAAAGGGUGCGUAGGUGGUGAGGUAAGUCGGAUGUGAAAUCUCCGAGCUCAACUCGGAAAUGGCAUUGGAAACUACCUUGCUCGAGGGUUGGAGGGGGGACUGGAAUGCUUGGUGUAGCAGUGGAAUGCGCAGAUAUCAGGAGGAACACCGAUGGCGAAGGCAGGUCACUGGGCCGCAACUGACGCUGAGGAGCGAAAGCAUGGGGAGCGAACAGG